AGUUUCAAGUCUACCUGAUCACCAGGGAGUCUUACUGUUAAAAAUUAUUUCCCCUCCAGAGAGAAGAAUCUCCCUGAACUGAACAAAUGUGUCACUUUUGAAUAAGGAUUCAUGAAAAGGCAGAAAAGGAGAAGAAAAAAGAAUAAAGGGUAGCUGGGAUGGCUUCCUGAGUGAGAGUAGCCUGGAUUUGGCUGUGGGAGCUCUGGGAAGGAGGUGAACAUGCACUCAAGUGUUGCUGAUUUCAUCAAGAGUAACAGCAAGUUUUGGGGAAGAGUAAUUUUCCAGUUGGUGAAGGCACACCAGAAGCACUAGUGUCCCAGGUAUAAAGGAUGAGAGCUUGCGCUUGUGCAGGGCCUGCGUGUCCCUUUCUUUGGGGGGAAUGAACAGGAGUCUGGAGAUUAAAGAAGUCUUUGCGGAACUCAGGUUUGAGUUUAAAUUUAUCUUCUGUCACAGGAGCUGAGUCCUUCAAAUAUUUUUCUGCCUUCACAGAGACAAAUUUGUCUAAAGGGAGUUGUAACUUACUCCUUAAUAUUUUUAGCUUGUUCUCAUCCAGUAGAUAUUUUGAUCUUGUAAUUUGAAAUAAGACAUUAAAUUAGUGUUUUUGCAAUUAUUUUCCUCAAAGAAAAAUGACAGUUACUUUUCAAGGAAACACUUAGCUUUUCUUUGAUAUGGCUCAAUUGAUUGUAGUUAUUACAGGGAAGUCAAACCACAUGCGGCUGGAGCCCUCAUCUGCUUCCACUAAGGCUGACAUGGUCUUAAUGUUGGAGUAUGGCUUUGAUGACAAUUUGAAUGGAACUUGGAGACUAUUUCAGGGUUUGAAAGCUUCAGUACUGAUGGGGCCUUAAACUAGGUGGUUUUGUAAUUUGAGAUUUGAACUGUUCUCUAGAGCUGCAUGAGACCAAUAAAGUGCUGUAGAUAAAAUGAAUUUAGCUGACAGAUAUGCAACAUGUGAAAUAUAUUUUUAUUAUUUCUUUAUGAAGGUAAAGCCAAAUGCUGAAAUGGUUAUUCAUUUGUGUCUCUGUCCUUACCCAGAGAAAACUCCCAUUGGCUUUAACCUGUCUCUGAUUCAAUGAAAUCAGUGGGAGUUUAUAAAGAUGGUGGAAUGCAGUCCGCCUUGUCUCAGAUGUGCAAGCAAGCUUGCUCAGAUUUCCAUCAUAAUGCUGUCACAGAGAUGUGAUGGCUGCAUGAGCCACGCAGCAGUCUGGGGAGUAUGUUUGCUCUAUUUUGUUAGCUCCUACAGCAAUGUUGUUCCUGUUUUAGCAGCUUCUGUCACUGAUAGGUGCUGCAGCUAUUAUAUGAAUAUAUAUAUUUAUAUAUUUAAGUGGUUUCUGGGUGCUUUGUAAGCUGUGUUUUUGGCACUGACUUAGUGACAUUGGGCAUUUUGUAUUACUUAGUUAUGAUCAUGUUUCAUUUCUCCCCUGUGUUUAUCUCCAGUUUUCAGGGAAUGUUCUGAAUUUCACUUAUUUUUUUCAGUCGUUCUCUGAAUCAUAAGAAGAUGAAAUAACUUGCUUAUGUUUUUUACUCAUUCUCAGUCACUUAUGAGUAAUUUGUUUCCGUGUUUCAUAGUAAAUGCUACAAGUGUCAUGUUAUAUCAGUCAUAGGAUGUGGAAGCAGUGUUUGACAUGCAUGUACUGUUUGUUUUUGACAGUCUUGUACAUCUUUGUUUUCGCUUGUGAGUGACAUUUUCAGUAAUAAUCCUAGGACAGUCAAAUGCAAACCUAGACACCUUGGAAGAUUCAUUGUUUUCAAAUAUCAAAUAAAACUUACCUUUCAUAUUUGCCAC
rnacentral:lncRNA from 7 species